GAUGAACGCUAGCGGCAGGCUUAAUACAUGCAAGUCAAGGGGCCAGCAAUGGCACCGGCGGACGGGUGAGUAACGCGUACACAACGUACCUUUAACUGGGGGAUAGCAUCUGGAAACGGGUGGUAAUACCGCAUGUGGUUGCGGGGAGGCAUCUCCUUGUAACUAAAACUUUGGUGGUUAGAGAUCGGUGUGCGUCUGAUUAGCUAGUUGGUAGGGUAGAGGCCUACCAAGGCGACGAUCAGUAGGGGGCGUGAGAGCGUGAACCCCCACACGGGUACUGAGACACGGACCCGACUCCUACGGGAGGCAGCAGUAAGGAAUAUUGGUCAAUGGAGGGAACUCUGAACCAGCCAUGCCGCGUGAAGGAAGAAGGCGCUACGCGUUGUAAACUUCGUUUUGGGUGGGACGAAAAUAAUCCAUUUAUGGAUAGCUGACGGUACCAUCAGAAUAAGCACCGGCUAACUCCGUGCCAGCA
rnacentral:rRNA from 1 species